GCGACCCCAGGUCAGGCGGGACUACCCGCUGAGUUUAAGCAUAUCAA
rnacentral:rRNA from 6 species